CACGCGUACGUGCUGUCCGGGGCGUGUUUGCAAGAGCAGAGAGAGGACGAGGAGAAAAGCACCCGUGACAAAACACUCCGUGCUGAAAGUUCCACGGAGAAAAGCCACGACAGACUUAUCCCGGCGUGUAGUCGAGCACGUACUAUAUUGUCAACCAUGAAUUUAUUAUGGACUGUCGGUGUACUUCUGUUGAGCUGUUGGCGAGCGAACGCCGCGACAGCUGGCUUCAUCAAGUCUCCCCUCUCCGUCACGAAGCUGGUCGGCGACAGCGCAGAGCUGCAUUGUGAGGUGAUAGGGAGCCCCAUUCCUGAGGUGCAGUGGUGGUUCAUUGAGGGACAGGAGCCCAACGAGACCAUCACACAGCUCUUUGACGGCGCACGGAACGACCGUGUGCAGAUAAACGCCACGUAUAUAGAGCACGCCACCAGCAGCGGUCGCCUCACGGGCCUCACCCUUGAAGACUCAGGCACGUACGAGUGUCGCGCCUCCAACGACCCCGACCGCAAUGAGCUGAGGAAGACGCCGAAAAUCAAGUGGAUCCGCUCGCAAGCAAACCUUAUUGUCAUCGAAACCCCAACUAUCAUCACUGACCCCAUUGAAGUCAACAACCAGACCUCUGCCACUCUCAGCUGCAAUUUGACCGACACGACUCUGGUAGUCAAGGGUUCACACUGGACGUACAACGGAAAAAUCAUCGAGAAGACCCAGUCCACAGCCCCCGAUCACCACACCACCUAUCAUUUGGACAAGAUCAACCCCCACAACUCUGGUGGGAAAUAUGAAUGUGUAUUCCUGAGUGACCCAGUGGUGCAGCAGACAAUUGAAGUGAAAACCAUCCCACAUGUUGCAGCCUACAAACACUCUGAGCAUGGCAACGAGAGGGACAAAGGGGUCAUGGUGUGUGUGAGCCAUGGCUACCCGCUGCCUACUGACUGGACCUGGUCCAAGGAGCAAGAUGGUGUCCAAGUGCCUAUUAUCAACGGCACCAGCGACAAGUACGAGAUCAAGAGCACCCCCAACAAAACUAGCCUGACCGUCAACGAACUGAGCAUCGAGGGUGAUGUGGGCGAGUACAUCUGCGCCGGCACCAGUGAACUUGGCACCAGCACCGAUAAGAUCCACCUUAGGGUGCGCAGCCGGCUUGCUGCUCUCUGGCCCUUCCUUGGAAUCGUGGCUGAGGUCAUCAUCCUGGUCACCAUCAUCCUCAUCUACGAGAAGAGGAGAAAGCCGGAUGAGAUUACUGACGAUGAUGACUCAGGCUCGGCUCCUCUGAAAAGCAACUCCACUGCCAACCACAAAGACAAGAAUGUGAGGCAAAGGAAUUCCAACUAAGAGAUGAAAAGGUGAGGGGAGCAGUGGGCAGCAGCGGUGCCGCGCCCGGGAAUCAUUUAAUGAUGAGAAGUCCACACGGGCAGUCACGUCCGAGUUGUCACACUGCACAUUUGUCCCGUGCACCCUGCAAUGUCAAAAUAACCUCUUUUGUGCUGGAGUGUUGAUGUUCUCAAGACAAUGACCGGUUAGCGCUUGCUUUGAUUUUCUUCUUUGACUAACCUUCUCCAUGUUGUGCAGCCAGAGAGCUUUGAAUGUGUGAAAUACUUCCCUGCUUGAAGCCAACUAUUGCAUGACCUCCAUCACCGUCCUUUAGCCCAGUGUGUUGUUUUAAACCAACUAAAUAAACCAUCGCUAUGUCUUUGGUGAGGAAUGCUUCUUUCGAGGUUAGGUUUCAGUUUCAAAAUCAUCUUUUAAAUUCCUGUCGACUACCCUUUUGUCAUUUUUGAAUCCCCUCUUUUGCUGGUCUUUUUAAAACGCUUGUUAGGUUGUUUUUUCUUUGCUAUAGGAAAACUGUCCUGUUAAUAUUUCUAAAGACUUUUACUUUGUACACUUAGUUUCUUAGUUAAAAAAAAAAUACAUAUGAAGGACCAACUGCAAAAUGUAGGAGCAGUUGCGAUGCCAGUACUACAUCACAAUGUUUCACUUGUUCACCCACAUGAUCUAAACUAAAAAAAAAAAGGGUGUUGGUUGGGUCACUUCACUUAAAAAAAAAAAAAAGUUCCACUUAGCAUUCUGCCUGAGUUGUGUGUUGUGAUUGAAUGUUGCUGUUAACACAUUUAAAGAUUUUAGCCAGAUUUGUGAGAGUUGUACUUUCCGACCUGUUGUACAACCUGUACAAACUGAAUAAAGGUAUAUCAUUUUA